rnacentral:rRNA from 1 species
GACGAACGCUGGCGGCGUGCUUAACACAUGCAAGUCGAACGGAAAGGCCCUGCUUUUGUGGGGUGCUCGAGUGGCGAACGGGUGAGUAACACGUGAGUAACCUGCCCUUGACUUUGGGAUAACUUCAGGAAACUGGGGCUAAUACCGGAUAGGAGCUCCUGCUGCAUGGUGGGGGUUGGAAAGUUUCGGCGGUUGGGGGUGGACUCGCGGCUUAUCAGCUUGUUGGUGGGGUAGUGGCUUACCAAGGCUUUGACGGGUAGCCGGCCUGAGAGGGUGACCGGCCACAUUGGGACUGAGAUACGGCCCAGACUCCUACGGGAGGCAGCAGUGGGGAAUAUUGCACAAUGGGCGGAAGCCUGAUGCAGCAACGCCGCGUGCGGGAUGACGGCCUUCGGGUUGUAAACCACUUUCGCCUGUGACGAAGCGUGAGUGACGGUAAUGGGUAAAGAAGCACCGGCUAACUACGUG